rnacentral:rRNA from 1 species
UUUCAGAAGAGUUUGAUCCUGGCUCAGAGCGAACGUUAGCGGCGCGCCUAACACAUGCAAGUCGCACGAGAAAGGGCUUCGGCCCCGGUAAAGU